UACGGGGGGGGCAAGCGUUGUUCGGAAUUACUGGGCGUAAAGGGCUCGUAGGUGGCCAACUAAGUCGGACGUGAAAUCCCCAGGCUCAACUUGGGAACUGCGUCCGAUACUGGAUGGCUUGAAUUCGGGAGAGGGAUGCAGAAUUCCAGGUGUAGCGGUGAAAUGCGUAGAUAUCUGGAGGAACACCGGUGGCGAAGGCGGCAUCCUGGACCAACACUGACGCUGAGGAGCGAAAGCCAGGGAGCAAACGGG
rnacentral:rRNA from 1 species